CCUACGGGAGACAGCAGUGGGGAAUAUUGCACAAUGGGCGAAAGCCUGAUGCAGCAAAGCCGCGUGAAGGAAGAAGGGUUUCGGCUUGUUAACUUCUAUCAACAGGGACGAAAGAAAUGACGGUACCUGAAUAAGAAGCCUCGGCUAACUACGUGCCAGCAGCCGCGGUAAUCCGGCGGGGGCAGGCGUUAUCCGGAAUUACUGGGGGUAAAGGGUGAGUAGGCGGCAUGGUAAGCCAGAUGGGAAAGCCUUGGGCUUAACCCGAGGACUGCAUUUGGAACUAGCAAGCUGGAGUACAGGAGAGGAAAGCGGAAUUCCUAGUGUAGCGGUGAAAUGCGUAGAUAUCAGGAAGAACACCAGUGGCGAAGGCAGCUUACUGGACUGAAACUGACGCUGAGGCACGAAAGCGUGGGGAGCGAACAGGAUUAGAUACCCUAGUAGUC
rnacentral:rRNA from 1 species